rnacentral:rRNA from 1 species
UACCAGCUCUCCGAGUGGUGUGGAUGUUUAUUGGGCCUAAAGCAUCCGUAGCUGGCUGGGCAAGUCCCCUGUUAAACCCACCGAUUUAAUCGUUGGUGUGCGGGGGAUACUGUUCGGCUAGGGGACGGGAGAGGCCGACGGUAUUUUCGGGGUAGGGGUGAAAUCCUAUAAUCCCGGGAAGACCACCAGUGGCGAAGGCUGUCGGCUAGAACGCGCCCGACGGUGAGGGAUGAAAGCUGGGGGAGCGAACCGGAUUAGAUACCCGGGUAGUCCCAGCUGUAAACGAUGCAGGCUAGGUGUUUGGGCGGCCACGUGCCGCUCUAGUGCCGCAGAGAAGUCGUUAAGCCUGCCGCCUGGGGAGUACGGCCGCAAGGCUGAAACUUAAAGGAAUUGGCGGGGGAGCACCACAAGGGGUGAAGCUUGCGGUUU